UACGGAGGGUGCAAGCGUUGCUCGGAAUUAUUGGGCGUAAAGGGUAGGUAGGUGGUCUCAUUUGUCUGGGGUGAAAGCCUUGAGCUUAACUCAAGAAGUGCCCCAGAAACGGUGAGACUGGAGUCCUGGAGAGGGUCGUGGAAUUCCCGGUGUAGCGGUGAAAUGCGUAGAGAUCGGGAGGAACACCAAUGGCGAAGGCAGCUCGCUGGGACGGUACUGACGCUGAGACGCGAAAGCGUGGGGAGCAAACAGG
rnacentral:rRNA from 1 species